GUCUUGCCUGCCCAGUGACAAUGUUAAACGGCCGCGGUAUUUUGACCGUGCGAAGGUAGCGCAAUCACUUGUCUUUUAAAUGAAGACCUGUAUGAAUGGUGAAACGAGGGCUUAACUGUCUCCCUUUUCUAGUCAAUGAAAUUGAUCUGCCCGUGCAGAAGCGGACAUAAAAAUACAAGACGAGAAGACCCUUUGGAGCUUAAGAUAUAAAGAUCAUCUAUGUCAAUGGGCCCCAACACGGCAACAAACUAAAUAGCAACUGAUCUUAAUCUUCGGUUGGGGCGACCACGGGAGAAAAUAAAGCUCCCACGCGGACUGGGGUAAACCCUAAAACCAAGAAAAACAUUUCUAAGCAACAGAACUUCUGACCAUUAAGAUCCGGCUACACGCCGACCAACGGACCAAGUUACCCUAGGGAUAACAGCGCAAUCCCCUUUCAGAGUCCAUAUCGACAAGGGGGUUUACGACCUCGAUGUUGGAUCAGGACAUCCUAAUGGUGCAGCCGCUAUAAGG
rnacentral:rRNA from 1 species